rnacentral:rRNA from 1 species
CAAGUUGAACGGGAUUAGCUGUAGCAAUAUGGCUAUGAGAGUAGCGCACGGGUGCGUAACGCGUAUGCAACCUGCCUCCAACUGGGGAAUAGCCCCUCGAAAGAGGGAUUAAUACCGCAUAACAUAGUGAACAGGCAUCUGUUUACUAUUAAAACUACGGUGGUUGGAGAUGGGCAUGCGUGACAUUAGCUAGUUGGUAGGGUAAUGGCCUACCAAGGCUACGAUGUCUAGGGGGUCUGAGAGGAUGUCCCCCCACACUGGUACUGAGAUACGGACCAGACUCCUACGGGAGGCAGCAGUAGGGAAUAUUGGUCAAUGGGCGCAAGCCUGAACCAGCCAUGCCGCGUGCAGGAUGACGGCCCUAUGGGUUGUAAACUGCUUUUGUACGGGAAGAAACCCCACUACGUGUAGUGGGUUGACGGUACCGUGAGAAUAAGGAUCGGCUAACUUCGUGCCAGCAGCCGCGGUAAUACGAAGGAUCCUAGCGUUGUCCGGAUUUACUGGGUUUAAAGGGUGCGUAGGCGGAUUUUUAAGUCAGUGGUGAAAGCCUGCAGCUUAACUGUAGAAUUGCCAUUGAAACUGAUUGUCUCGAGUGCGGUUGAGGUCACUGGAAUGUAUCAUGUAGCGGUGAAAUGCUUAGAUAUGAUACAGAACACCAAUUGCGAAGGCAGGUGACUAAGCCGUAACUGACGCUGAUGCACGAAAGCGUGGGGAUCAAACAGGAUUAGAUACCCUGGUAUUCCACGCCCUAAACGUUGAAUACUCGACCUUAGCGAUAUACUGUUAGGGUCCAAGCGAAAGCGUUAAGUAUUCCACCUGGGAAGUACGAUCGCAAGAUUGAAACUCAAAGGAAUUGACGGGGGCCCGCACAAGCGGAGGA